rnacentral:guide_RNA from 1 species
AUAAAACAACACUAUUAUGAGAACGAGUGAUAGAAUAUAGAUAAUA